AAAAGCACUUACUUUUUUAUAACAUUAGUAAAACAAACUUACUUUUGCUCGCCCUGCUAAGAUCACUGAGACCUUGCUCAAGUACAUCCGAAUCCAUGAAAUCCUCAUUCAAUAUGGUGGACUCAAGAGGGAGAAUGACUUUGAGUUUUCAGUCUCUGACUGUAAAGCUUCAGAAAUUCUCCUUAAACCCGGAUCAACUGAAACCAUUGGCAUACCUGCAGUAGACGUGGAAAGUACAUUUAUCUGGGAUGUAACGAUUGUGGGCGGAGAGGUGAGCUAUAAGGAGGAUUUCGUGCCAGAGGAUGAGACUUGUUACACCAUUAUCAUUCAGAAGGACAAGAAGGUCAGCUCACCAAUUCGCAACGCAUUCAAGAACACUGAAGCUGGAAAGGUUGUGCUGACAAUCAAGAACUCCUCUAGCAAGAAGAAGAGGGCGUUUUACCGACACAAGAUCAAGAAAUCAGCAAUUUGAGAUGAACAAAUUUCUAUUUUGAAUGAAGAUGGAGUUUAAUUUUUAUAAUGCAACUUUUUUGUGGUUCAUAUAAUUAUUAUUUUUUGGUCAUGUUGUAUAUGGUUGAUCUAUUCUUUUUUUCUCCCUAUAAGGAAGAACAUGUUCUCUGGAUUUAUUCAAUUGGGAGGAAUCCUACUUUGUCUGUUUAUGGAUGACAAGUAGUAAAAUUUAAGAGAUUGGUUUCAUCAUCACUUUUGCACAAAGCAAAUGUGAUCUUACAAAAUUUAUACUUCAACA